rnacentral:tRNA from 1 species
GCCUGGGUGGCUCAGCUGGUUAAGCAUCUGACUUCAGCUCAGGUCAUGAUCUCAUGGUUUGUGGGCUCAAGACCCACAUCAGGCU